AAUACCAAAUAACAGGAAAAUUAAAAACACAUAUCUGAAAUUCCUAAAAAAUCUUACGUUACCCACAACAUUUCUUCGGUUAAACAAAUUUCUCAUCAUUCGAAAAGUGUACUGCCUAUUAUUUACAAUAUGAUGCAUACAGCGAAUUUAUAUGCACAACAUUAUGACUUUAUUGGCAAUGCAUACACCCUCAAUGAUUGGGAAUGGAACGAACAUUUUCUAGCACUGUGGUCAAAUGAAUUAAAUUUAGAUGUAAUAUGAAAACAAUGCAAAAUUUGUUAGGUGCGAAGCUACGUGGACGUAUACGUGAAAUAUAAGAAGCAGUUGGGCGCUAUGUUCACUUUCAUGCCGUCAGGAUUUAUUUAUUAAAUCAAUGAAUCAAUUUCAAAUCAAUAUACAAAACAAGUCGA